GACGACGCUGGCGGCACGCCUAACACAUGCAAGUCGAACGGACUUAAACGGAGCUUGCUCUUUUAAGUUAGUGGCGGACGGGUGAGUAACACGUGAGCAACCUGCCUUUCUGAGGGGGAUAACGUUUGGAAACGAACGCUAAUACCGCAUAACAUAUAUUUAUCGCAUGAUAGAUAUAUCAAAGGAGCAAUCCGCAGAAAGAUGGGCUCGCGUCUGAUUAGCUAGUUGGUGAGGUAAUGGCUCACCAAGGCAACGAUCAGUAGCCGGACUGAGAGGUUGAACGGCCACAUUGGGACUGAGACACGGCCCAGACUCCUACGGGAGGCAGCAGUGGGGAAUAUUGCACAAUGGGGGAAACCCUGAUGCAGCGAUGCCGCGUGGAGGAAGAAGGUUUUCGGAUUGUAAACUCCUGUCUUCAGGGACGAUAAUGACGGUACCUGAGGAGGAAGCACCGGCUAACUACGUG
rnacentral:rRNA from 1 species